rnacentral:rRNA from 1 species
UUGGAGAUUUGAUCCUGGCUCAGGACGAACGCUGGCGGCGUGCCUAAUACAUGCAAGUCGAGCGGACAGAUGGGAGCUUGCUCCCUGAUGUUAGCGGCGGACGGGUGAGUAACACGUGGGUAACCUGCCUGUAAGACUGGGAUAACUCCGGGAAACCGGGGCUAAUACCGGAUGGUUGUUUGGAACCGCAUGGUUCAAACAUAAAAGGUGGCUUCGGCUACCACUUACAGAUGGACCCGCGGCGCAUUAGCUAGUUGGUGAGGUAACGGCUCACCAAGGCAACGAUGCGUAGCCGACCUGAGAGGGUGAUCGGCCACACUGGGACUGAGACACGGCCCAGACUCCUACGGGAGGCAGCAGUAGGGAUCUUCCGCAAUGGACGAAAGUCUGACGGAGCAACGCCGCGUGAGUGAUGAAGGUUUUCGGAUCGUAAAGCUCUGUUGUUGGGAAAACAAGUACCGUUCGAUAGGAGCGG